CCUCGCAUAUCUAUAAAUACAUCGGACGCCAUCUUUGGUGUUUACCAGUAGUGCUGUAGCUGAAACUUGGUUUUAGGCUCGACUUUCGUUGCAGAGUGUUUUCCGUUUUCAAAAAGUGGCCGAUGAUAGACAGUGAAAGCUUAAACUAUAUCAUGAUGAUUCUAAAAGUGUAUCGAAUACGUGUUGUGUUCAAUAGUCGAAAUUCCGUGUCCGAGACGAUGAUUUAGUCGGAAAACAGUAUUGGCACGUAACGUGCGAGAUAUCCGACAUACAUACAUCUCUCGUCGUAUUUGUAUUUAAUGGAAUCUCUAUAGAUUAAUUUGCGACUACUAAACUGCACUAUCACGAAUCACCGUGGACAUGGAGCCGUCAUCGAACAGCGGAAGCGGCGAUGGAAAUGACACCAAGGGCAGCUGUUUGCUACUGCGCUACGCAAGCCAGAAUUCGCUCGACGAGAGCUCACAGAAACACAUUCCGAGGGAAAAUGGAAAGGACAAACCACCCUAUCGAAACCACCAUCACACUAAUCGGGCAUUCGACGUGAUGAAUACCAUGAGAAAGCAAAACCUGCUUUGCGACGUGACCUUGGUGGCGGAUGGCGGGGUGGAAGUUCCUGCCCACAAAAUGGUGUUGGCCGCGUGCAGCCCGUACUUUUAUGCGAUGUUUACGAGCUUCGAGGAGCGGGAACGAGAGAGGAUCACUCUGCAGGGUGUUGACCACGCUGCCCUCGACCUCCUCGUCGACUACGUCUACUCCGCAGAAGUUCACGUCACCGAGGACAACGUGCAGGUGCUUCUGCCGGCGGCGAAUCUCCUCCAGCUAAACGACGUCCGUGACGCGUGCUGCGACUUUCUUCAGGCCCAACUCCAUCCGUCCAACUGCCUUGGCAUCCGAGCCUUCGCCGAUCUCCACGGGUGUAUGGAGCUCCUCGCGCACGCCGACAGCUACAUAGAACAACAUUUCUCAGAGGUAGUCGAAGGAGAGGAGUUCCUCACCCUGACCCCGCAACAAGUCGCCAAGCUGAUAUGCAGCGAUCGUUUGACUGUGCCGUCCGAGGAGAAGGUGUUCGAGUGCGUUAUAUCAUGGGUCCACAACGAUCUGGAGCGAAGGCAAGACCACCUUGCUCAGCUGAUGGAGCACGUCAGGCUGCCUCUCCUUUCUCAGGAGUACCUAGUCCAGAGAGUCGAACAGGAACCACUGCUAAAAGCUAACUUGCAGUGCAAGGACUUCCUCAUCGAAGCUUUGAAGUACCAUCUCCUCAAAGGGGAGCAGAAAACCUUGUUCAAAACCGCAAGGACCAAACCACGGCAGCCGGUCGGUUUACCCAAGGUUCUAUUAGUUGUCGGGGGACAAGCACCCAAGGCCAUCAGAAGCGUUGAGUGCUACGAUUUUAAGGAGGAACGAUGGUACCAAGUUUCCGAGCUUCCUACGCGACGCUGUAGAGCUGGACUUUCCGUUCUCGGUGGUCGAGUUUAUGCUGUUGGAGGCUUUAACGGUUCUCUCAGAGUUCGAACAGUAGAUGUUUACGAUGCGGCGGCUGAUCAAUGGUCAGCCUGUCCAGGCAUGGAGGCUCGAAGAUCAACCCUGGGCGUCGCAGUCCUCGGCAACUGCAUCUACGCGGUCGGUGGUUUCGACGGUUCAACCGGGUUGAACUCGGCCGAAGUCUACGAUCCUCGGACCCACGAGUGGAGGAUAAUUGCACCGAUGUCAACGAGGCGGAGCAGCGUCGGCGUCGGCGUCGUUAAGGGCCUUUUGUACGCGGUUGGUGGUUAUGACGGUGCCUCUCGGCAGUGCCUCUCGAGCGUCGAAUGUUACAAUCCGGAAACCGAUCAGUGGAAAGCGGUACCAGAAAUGUCCUCACGUCGAAGUGGUGCCGGGGUUGGAGUCCUCGACGGUAUUCUGUACGCCGUUGGAGGUCAUGAUGGGCCUCUGGUAAGGAAAAGUGUCGAAGCCUUCAACCCCGAGACUAAUCAAUGGACCUCCGUCAGCGACAUGGCUCUCUGUAGACGAAACGCCGGCGUUGUCGCGUUGAACGGGAUGUUGUACGUCGUUGGCGGCGAUGACGGAACGUCGAAUCUCUCCUCGGUCGAGGUGUACGCUCCGCGUACGGACACGUGGUUAACCCUGCCAGCAUGCAUGGGAAUCGGUCGCAGUUACGCCGGUGUGGCUAUAAUCGACAAGCCGUUGAUGGGAACCCUGACGAUGUGAGGUAUGCCGGCCGCUGGACACCCGUUUGACGUAGAUAACGACGUGGAAUCGACCACCGAUCAUCUACGGGAAUCGGGUCCCAGCGGCACUCCGUCCAACCACUCUGAGCAGAACGCACCUCCGCUUUACCACCAGCUUAGCCACGACUGCGAGGGGCCACGUUGCCUGUGCCAGAGAUACGAGAACGGGGAACUUGCCGCGGCUGUUCUGAACCAGAACCGGAACCCGAACGAGCUUAGGGACUACGAAAAUCAUCAGAACGUCGGGCGCGGUCAUCGGCGCCCAAACCAGAGCCACCCGAACCUGAAUCCGAACUAUCAAAACCCGAUCGAUUUCAUCGCGAACGACAACCACGCGACCGGAAGAAGGGGCGGAAGUGGACACGACCGCGACCGCCGGCAUUACGAGCCUGAAGAAAACAUUUACGAACGUCUCGACGAGGUGCAGGGCUGCAGGGAAGGUGAUCAUACCUACGAGCGCAUAGACGAUAGAGCGUGGCAUCGCAGGGCUCGGUACCGGACUUCCGGUCCCCAAAACGUAGCUGGACCCAGCGACGUCUACGUCGACUCUAGGCGCAUAACGGGGCCCUCGUGUCUGAGCAGGCUGGGGAGGAACUGUUUCUCGACCGAGAACAUUGCCUCUGCGUCGAACCGACGCUACGUAUAUCAGCUCGGUCAGAACUGCACGUGCCAAUUUUGCAGACAUCUCGACGCCCGCGCUGUCUGCCAAUACUGCAACAACUUCCACGACAAACUCCGGUACCAGGAUCCGGGGACCCUUCCCAACCUCGCAGGAUCAAGACACUACAUAUAUCAGCUAUCGAGGAGUUGCAGGUGCGCCUUGUGCCGAGAUGAUUCGCUUUAUGCCCGCUUCCCCAUCAACUCAAGACUCUCCGAUUCGUUCAGGCGGGACUGCCACUGCCGAAAUCCGGGAACCUGCUCGUGCAGGAGCAGAUUUUUGUCGUACUCAAAUCCCGCGAUCUACAUCGGCAGGAUUAACCAUGCGGUAAACAAUCCACUCUACGCGACCCCCGUCGGCAUUUUGGACCCGAACCCGUCAACGUCGAGCGGUGCGCAAGGACUCGGCGAGCCCUCGACCAGCACCGGUCGGACCUCGGGUAAUUACGCGUCGAGCAAUCCUUCGAGCUCCGGGGUUCCCGCUUGUUCGGGAAAUCGAUCAAGCGAUCGUCAGCACGUCUGCGAUGACUCCUGCAUACGGAACCCCAACGUCGGCGGUGUCUAUCAGAUCCUGGGCAAGUGUGAGAGAGCCGAUUGUCAUCACGGCAGGGUUUCCAUACACUGGGUGUUCGUGAAUAAAUGGGUUCCCUCGUGGAGUGCCCAGGAUUCUGUACCUGAGGCCGACGCUAAUCCCGAACCUGCGUCCAGAGAUGACGAACCUCGAAAUCAGCCGGAAGGUGACGCGGACGAAUCCUAAUUUCUGAGAAUUCUUGACUGCGUGUCAGUCAAUUGUAAACAAGAUCCUGGGGGCGACAACUGGCUCGUAAAUAUCGCUGAAAAGCACCACGGAGUGACAGCUCAAAGUGAUUAAUAAUCGAGUCAGCUUGACAAACAGACGCAAAGGCGCGGUAAUUGACUUGCGGAACGUCAAAGAUGCGCGUGUGUGCGUGCGUGCGUGUUCGUACAAUAUGGAAGAGAUAAGAAAUUCCAUAAUGUCAAACCCCCGCGGUGAUAAAGGAGCUCUGCUGGUACAGACGCCAACGCCGAGUUUCCUGGUUCCGCGUUGACGUUGGGGGCUGAUUAAUCUCAAUCGUGAUCUCCCGGUCUGAUCAAUUUCGUGGAAAGCAACGAAAUGUCAAUUUUAUCCGUGCAUGCAGUGGGAUAGGGCUUCAACCUUGUCGGCAAUUUUUCAACCUUGGGUCACGCACGACGUCCCGAUUAUUGCCAGCCAGUCAUUUGGCAAGCAUUUUCAGCGCGUUUCCGGUAAACAAAAUACGUACACCGCCUGACCGACAGCUGCUUCAUGUUACACUUCGGCAUAUGUCAAUCUAACUAAAAUUUCAACGGAAGCUACUUUGCACAAGUCUUCGAAGUCUCGAUAGGCAUAAGACGUAAUGUAGUUUUUACUCUAGAUAUUACAUUACGUCCGUAAGGAAUUUCCUGUUGACACACCGGCAACAGCCACGUAUAAAUCUGGCCUUUUACUCCCCGUUGUGUCUACUCGCACUCUAUAUACUUAUUAUUUUGUAAUAGCGUUACACUAACUCACUUCACUAUCGCAUGCCGGUAUUCGCAUAAGUGUGAGUACACACCUGGUCAUUGUAAUACAACAGAGUGAUAGCAGUUAGCCUUCGUUCGCGGGGGAGGCGAUUACCGAUCAGACAAACCGCACGUCGCAACACCGUUGAGGUUUCGCUCUUGCAAAAGAAUUCCGGAGCAGGCUGACUACCGCCCGUCGGCCUCCGCCACGAAAGACACCGAAAAUAAAUAAACAAAUAAAUCGAGCUGGCUGAAAUAUUAUAUCUCGGAAAAAUUUGGAGGAUUUGAUAUUCAAACGAAUUAACCCGAAUGUUUCCAGUGAAUUUAAAUUCAUUUCAAAACUUAAUUUCUACCGCGGUGUAGGUACACGGAGAUCUGUACUGCAUCCCUUAAACAGAGAUAUAGAUAAUUUUGCUAAUACGGUUUAUUUAUUUAUUUUUUACUCUUCUUAAUGCUAUAGAAUCGCUCUAGUCAUCCAAUCUGGCAUUGAUCUAGAUUUCUAUGCUCUGGCAGCGAGCGAAUCGGCACACUUUCUCAACCAUGAACGAUGGACGGCAGCAACGCGGUGACCAGAUUCGUUGUGUCAUUCCUUUGCACGCUGUGAUGCGCUAUAGAUAUACGAUAGAUAGUAUCUUAUACGUAGGUGUAUGCAUCGAGGGGUAGAAUGCAGAUUUGAUCGAAAACUGGUAGAACAACUUGCAAAGCUUAUCUGUUAUCAAAUAUCAAAGCAAGCCUCAAGCUACUGUGUAUUUGAAAUACACGGUACUCGAGGGAUAAUUGGGAUCUCCGCAAUGUCCGUGCAUACCAGAAUAAUUACUUGCUGUUAUAUUGUGAAUAUUCUA